UACGUAGGGUGCAAGCGUUGUCCGGAAUUAUUGGGCGUAAAGAGCUCGUAGGCGGCUUGUCGCGUCUGCCGUGAAAACCCAGGGCUCAACUCUGGGCGUGCGGUGGGUACGGGCAGGCUAGAGUGUGGUAGGGGAGACUGGAACUCCUGGUGUAGCGGUGAAAUGCGCAGAUAUCAGGAAGAACACCGAUGGCGAAGGCAGGUCUCUGGGCCAUUACUGACACUGAGAAGCGAAAGCAUGGGGAGCGAACAGG
rnacentral:rRNA from 1 species